rnacentral:tRNA from 1 species
GGGGAUUUAGCUCAGUGGUAGAGCAUUUGCCUUGCAAGCACAAGGCCCUGGGUUCGGUCCCCAGCUCCA